CCUACGGGAGGCAGCAGUAGGGAAUCUUUCACAAUGGGCGAAAGCCUGAUGGAGCAACGCCGCGUGCAGGAUGCAGGCCUUCGGGUUGUAAACUGCUUGUAUAAGCGAGAAAUAUGAUGGUAACUUAUGAAUAAGGAUCGGCUAACUACGUGCCAGCAGCCGCGGUCAUACGUAGGAUCCGAGCAUUAUCCGGAGUGACUGGGUGUAAAGAGUUGCGUAGGUGGCAUAAUAAGUAGCUAGUGAAAUCUGGUGGCUCAACCAUUCAGACUAUUAGCUAAACUGUUAAGCUCGAGACCGUUAGGGGUAACUGGAAUUUCUAGUGUAGGAGUGAAAUCCGUAGAUAUUAGAAGGAACACCAAUAGCGUAGGCAGGUUGCUGGGACGGUUCUGACACUAAGGCACGAAAGCGUAGGGAGCAAACGGGAUUAGAUACCCUUGUAGUC
rnacentral:rRNA from 1 species